GCUUAACGCGAAGAACCUUACCUAGGCUUGACAUGCAUCUCUAAGCGCGUGAAAGCGCGUGACCCUUCGGGGGAUUUGCACAGGUGCUGCAUGGCCGUCGUCAGCUCGUGUCGUGAGAUGUUGGGUUAAGUCCCGCAACGAGCGCAACCCUUGUGAACAGUUGCCAGCACUUAAGGUGGGAACUCUGUUCAGACUGCCCAGAUCAACUGGGAGGAAGGUGGGGACGACGUCAGGUCAGUAUGGCCCUUACGCCUAGGGCUGCACACGUACUACAAUGCCCAGCACAAUGAGAACCGAGACCGCGAGGUGGAGGAAAUCUAAAAAACUGGGCCCAGUUCGGAUUGGAGGCUGCAACUCGCCUCCAUGAAGUUGGAAUCGCUAGUAAUGGCGCAUCAGCUACGGCGCCGUGAAUACGUUCCCGGGUCUUGUACACACCG
rnacentral:rRNA from 1 species